GUUCAAACUCAAUCACUAACUGCAUGUUUCAGAAGUGAGAGGAACUAGGUUUGCUAAAGUAAUUGUGGUGAUAGAAUUGUAUAAACCUCAGAAACUACUGAGGUGGCCCAUUCUAUCCCAGUACAGUG
ensembl:snoRNA SNORA66 Small nucleolar RNA SNORA66